AAAUUCCUUCCGGACAAAACAAAGACCCAGAAAGCAGCUCUGCAGAAAGGGCUCUGGUGGUCCUGCUGGACACCAGGCUGAACGUGCGCCAGCAACGUGCUGCUGCAGCAAAGAAGGCCAGCGACACCCUGGGCUGCGUUAGGAGGAAUGGUGCCAGCAGGCCAAGGGAGGUGACCUUUCCCUUUCCCCUCUGCACGGCCCUGGUGAGGCCUCACCUGGAGCGCUGUGUCCAGUUCUGGGCUCCCCGGUACAAGAGGGACACUGCAGAGAGUCCGGCAAAGGGCUGUGAAGGUUCUGCAGAGCCUGGAGCACCUCUCCUGUGAGGAGAAGCCGAGAGCUGGGACUGUUCAGCCUGGACAAAAGAUGCUCAGAGAGAUCUAAGUCAGUAUAGGUAUCUCAAGGGAGGGUGUAGGGAAGAUGCAUCCAGGCUCUUUCUGAUAGUGCCCAGCGCCAGGACAAGAGGCAGUGGGCACAGACUGGACCAUGAGAGGUUCUGACUAAACAUCACUUUGCUGUGCGGGUGACCGGGCACUGCCACAGGCUGCCCACAGAGGCUGUGCAGGCUCCCUUCGUGGAGACCUUUAAGAGCCUUCUGGAUGUGGUCCUGGGCAACCUGCUUGAGGAGGGCGUUGGAGCAGGUGACCUCCAGAGGUCCCUUCCAGCCCUAACCAUUCUGUGCUUCUGGGAUCUGAUAGUUGGGUAGGAUCUCAGAACGGUUUGGGCUGGAAGGACCCUUAAGGACCACCCAGUCCCAACCCCCUCCCAUGGGCAGGGACACCUCCCACCAGACCAGGCUGCCCAAAGCCCCAUCCAGCCUGGCCUGAAAUACGUCCAGGGAUGGGGCAUCCACAGCUUCUCUGUUUCAGUGCCUCACCACCUUCACAGUAAAGAGUUUCUUCCUUAUAUCCAGUCAAAAUAUACUCCCUUUUAGUUUAAAGCCAUCGUCACUACAGGCCCUGGUAAAAAAGCCUUUCUCCCUCUUUCCUGUAGAUACCAGAAGGCUGCUGUAAGGUCUCCUCAGAGCCUUCUCUUCUGCAGGCUGAACAACCCCGACUCCCUCUGCCUGUCUCCACAGGAGAGGUGCUCCAGACCUCUUACCAUCCUCGUGGCCCUCCUCUGGGCCUGCCUUCACAGGUCCGUGUCUCUCUCAUGCCGGGGCCUCAGCGGUGUAUGGGCCAGUCCGUGCAGGUUCAGAGCUGGUGUCUGGGAACACAUGACAGGAAGUGCUGAGUUUGGGAUUCACAUUGCAGAGAGCUGGGAGGAAAAAAAAAAGCUUAAUUACAAGACUGCCAAAAGAAGGGAUCUGGUGUCUGGGAGCUCAGCCAUGAGCAUAGGGAAAAUGGAGGAUUAUACCCCACCAGCAGGAAAGGCAAGCCCAAGGAUAAUUUACUUAAGCAGAGAUUUAUGGGUGGAAGACUGGAAAUAA
rnacentral:lncRNA from 1 species